UACGGGGGGGGGCAAGCGUUGUUCGGAAUUACUGGGCGUAAAGGGCGCGUAGGCGGCCUUCUAAGUCGGACGUGAAAUCCCUCGGCUUAACCGAGGAACUGCGUCCGAUACUGAAAGGCUUGAAUCCGGGAGAGGGAUGUGGAAUUCCAGGUGUAGCGGUGAAAUGCGUAGAUAUCAGGAGGAACACCGGUGGCGAAGGCGAUUCUCUGGGCCUUACCUGACGCUGAGGAGUGAAAGCGUGGGGAGCGAACAGG
rnacentral:rRNA from 1 species